AUGGAAAACAUGAAGGGGCUAAAGCAUUGAAUGGCCAAGACGGGUGGAAAUAAAGGAUUGAACGAUUACAUUGGGUGGCUAAAAACGUUACUCCGCUUCUUUUAUUGGACUCCACUUUACUAGAAUUGCAGUGUAUAACCAAAUACCGAGAGGGAGACGAUUCAGAGGCAUCCUGAUUCAGUGUGUUCAUGAGUUGGUUACGGCAUCAAUGAGGUGGUCUUAUAAAUUUUGUAUAAUAGCUUCAACACGAGGGGUAAUUCUUGGUACGUAUAGUGGCCAACUGCAUGAAAUUGUUUUUGAUGAGGAAUAUAAGAUGGAGAAAUACAUUGAUUCUUUGUAAUAGGUUAGAAACAGUAGUAUACCAAUUGUCGUCCAAAGAAAGGAUAUUGUUUUAUUUAUUUAUUUUU
rnacentral:lncRNA from 1 species